AGCGAACGCUGGCGGCAGGCUUAACACAUGCAAGUCGAACGGUCCUUCGGGAUAGUGGCGGACGGGUGAGUAACACGUGGGAACGUGCCUUUAGGUUCGGAACAACACAGGGAAACUUGUGCUAAUACCGGAUGUGCCCUUCGGGGGAAAGAUUUAUCGCCUUUAGAGCUGGCCGCGUUUGAUUAGCUUGUUGGUGAGGUAAUGGCUCACCAAGGCGACGAUUAGUAGCGGGUCUGAGAGGAUGACCAGCCACAUUGGGACUGAGACACGGCCCAAACUCCUACGGGAGGCAGCAGUGGGGAAUCUUGCGCAAUGGGCAAAAGACUGACGCAGCCAUGCCGCGUGAAUGAUGAAGGUCUUAGGAUUGUAAAAUUCUUUCACCGGGGACGAUAAUGACGGUACCCGGAGAAGAAGCCCCGGCUAACUUCGUGCCAGCAGCCGCCGUAA
rnacentral:rRNA from 1 species